rnacentral:rRNA from 1 species
AUGAACGCUGGCGGCGUGCCUAAUACAUGCAAGUCGAGCGAACAGACGAGGAGCUUGCUCCUCUGACGUUAGCGGCGGACGGGUGAGUAACACGUGGAUAACCUACCUAUAAGACUGGGAUAACUUCGGGAAACCGGAGCUAAUACCGGAUAAUAUAUUGAACCGCAUGGUUCAAUAGUGAAAGACGGUUUUGCUGUCACUUAUAGAUGGAUCCGCGCCGCAUUAGCUAGUUGGUAAGGUAACGGCUUACCAAGGCAACGAUGCGUAGCCGACCUGAGAGGGUGAUCGGCCACACUGGAACUGAGACACGGUCCAGACUCCUACGGGAGGCAGCAGUAGGGAAUCUUCCGCAAUGGGCGAAAGCCUGACGGAGCAACGCCGCAUGAGUGAUGAAGGUCUUCGGAUCGUAAAACUCUGUUAUUAGGGAAGAACAAAUGUGUAAGUAACUAUGCACGUCUUGACGGUACCCAAUCAGAAAGCCACGGCUAACUACGUG